rnacentral:rRNA from 1 species
AGGACGAACGCUGGCGGCGUGCUUAACACAUGCAAGUCGAGCGGAAAGGCCCUUCGGGGUACUCGAGCGGCGAACGGGUGAGUAACACGUGAGUAACCUGCCCCUAGCUCUGGGAUAGCUCCGGGAAACCGGGAUUAAUACCAGAUACGACCACUUUAGACAUCUGUCGUGGUGGAAAGGGUUCCGGCUAGGGAUGGGCUCGCGGCCUAUCAGCUUGUUGGUGGGGUAACGCCUACCAAGGCGACGACGGGUAG